GGACUUGGUUGGCAGGGGGUGAGCAGCUUGAAUGGCACAGCAGGACACUUGGCUGUGGGGCUAGGUGCCUGGUAUGAACUAUGCCGAUGUGACCAGCAAGGCUCUGGGAAGGCACCUGCUGCAAAAUGACAGAGUGGGACCUCCUGUGUGAUCUGUCAACGCUGACUCUAGGCAGUAUGAUCCUGGGAUCCUCCUUUAAAAACCCUAGAGUGUUGCCUGAUGUUACGGAGCAGGACAGACAGUGACAAGACCCAGCAGGGCACAGGCUCAGGAGUGGGGUGAGCAUCUUUCCUGAAGAGGCAGCUCUGCUGGAGGAGAGGGGUAUGGGCCUCCUUCUACGGUGCAGCACUUUAUUCCAGUCCCCCCGGAAAGAGACUGCUUAAGGGAGAACUCUGACGGGGCAGACAGAGAGACAGAGCUUGUGUGGUGUCCUAGAAACUGGAGCACUUCCAUUUCACUAGUCUGUUUCUGAGUAUUCUUGUGGGGGUCCAAGGCCUUUUCCAGCAAACCGCCGAACAGGUCCUCUUCUCCCCACAGUAGGACUACAGUCUUCCAUUGAGCACCCCUGAGUGCUGCCUUCUCAAAGGCCCAUCUACGUUCAGGACAUAGGCAGCAGAAUAAAUGUCAGGACAGUAUCUGUCACAUCCCCCAAACUGUAUCCUCUAUGUGUAAAAAGACAGCCUGUCCUUUGAACAGCAUUUCUGACAGUGGAGACAAAUUUCACAGGGUACGUCUCUUCUCUCCCUCUCAGACAGCUGGAUAGGGUGAGGGGUUUGUAGCUGAGCAAGGAAGGAUUGGACCCAGUGCUCUCAAAGCCAUAACCUCUAAUUCAUCACCAGCAAGGACUUGUCAGCUGUGCCCUAGAGCUUAGAAGUCACACAUGUAACCAGCAGGUUCACUAUGGGCGAGAGAACAGUAUAAAGGCUUAACAGAGCACAGGCCAAUGGCCACUGCAGUCACUGCUAUCACGGUCAGCUGAGGCUUUGGAAAACAUUCCAUUCAGUCCCUCAUGAAACAUUUUGUUCCCUAAGAAUUAUCCCAAAACGUUCUGUUCUUUGAAGCAUUAUUUGUACACUCCAUGUCUGUCUUUAGGAUCAAGCUGAAUGGUGGGCAGCUGCUUUUAUAUCCUCGGAGCCCCAGUGCAACUCUUUCCAGAUGCCGUGGGAA